CAGAGCUUCUAUAGUAGCAUAUAUUGGUUGUGCUUAAUUUGUAGGCUAAUUUCUAAUACACAAAGAGGACUCUGCCUUCUCUCCAGUGACCUCAGGAUUUCUUUCAGGUUUACAUCAGCAUGACUAAGGGGAAAAGAAUUAGCCCUUUUCAGAAGUCAGACAGAAAUGAAUACAUCCCACAGGUACAAAGGCAGCUGCCUUCUCACUUCUGCUCUCAGCUACUCUGGCGUCAAAUUUACUACACCUCCAUGCAUGACAAGCAAAACCAAGCCAAAUGGGAAUUAUGAAGAUGAGCUGGGGUAUCCCAAUGGAACAGUUGCAAACAGACAAGCUGACUAUGUCAGGUUAUUCAGCUACACAUUUUAGUUCUGAACAAAAGGAGGAGUGACUUUGAGGACUGAAGGAAAACAGCGCUAUUCUUUGCAAUGAAUGCCCGAAAGAUGAAAAGCAGAAUCCUCCGUGUUGGAUCUGUCAUACUGGUGCCUCCAUAAUUCACAAAAGGAUAGCAAAUGAUCCCAGGCAAUUUUGACGGCAGCAAAGUAGCAGGGAUCCCAGGGGUGUUCCCAUGGAGCUUUGAUUAGAAAUGAAGAUUUGUGGUAUGUUUAAUCUUAUCCCCUGGAAGACUUUGCUAUGUGUUAAUUGGCAGCAGCACAUAAAGGCCAGAACAGAGGUCUGGCAAAGUGGGUUUAAAGUUGCACAGUUUAGUGUAAACCAGUCUCUUCCCUCUAACAAAUCCUCUUCCUUCUAACAAAUCCUAAGCAAAAUAGAAGAAAAAGUCAGACUUCAGUCCAACAAAUAUGAAGGUUCUGAUGAUUCCCCUGCCUUUCCUCAGCCUAUCAUUGUUAUUAUAGGACCAACUACAGCUGUCCUACAGAUUGUCUCUCCAAAAAAACAGUGUUACAGAAGACUACAUUUAUUAUCUCAGCCUCGCCUCUAGUUAUUUUCAGUUCUCAUCAUAUGUUUCUCUUCAGUUCCAGGUUACAUGCAAAGCUGAGACAUUUUUAAGUCAAUCUAAAAUCUAUGAGGUUAGUAAACUCCCCAUACCUACGUCCUCUUGCAGAGUUUUGUUUUCAAGUAUCUGGUGAAUGAAUAAAGAGCAGAAAUACUAUGUAUUGACUUCUUUAAGUCAAAGGGUAUUGUAAGAAAAGAGCUGAACUCAGUCUUCGUUCGUGCAAUUUUCAAACAUCUAUCAAGACAUUACUUUGUCUGGUGCAAUACAGACUUUUAAUGUAAAGGCAUUUCAAAUAUUGCUCUAAUAAUUGUUUUGUUUUGUUUUUUUGUCAAAACUAGUGACAGAACAGAAGUUCAAAAUCCAAUAAUGCUUAUAUUAAAAUGCAGUUAAAAAAACAAUGUUAUUUCUUUUGUUAUUCUGGCAAGCAAAUUUCAGCAUCAGCCAGUUAAUUCUGUCUGUGAAAAUAACUGAAAUAUUCCUUAAGUGUCCACAAUAGUAUAAUAUUCUCUGCUUUCAGUUUUACUUCUUACUUUUUGUCUUUUGGUUUCCUUCAUGUGACACUGAUUUAAGAAUUUAUUUUGUAUUACUGUUACUAAUAAUCAGAGAGACCUAAAAAUCACUGAAUGAAAUGAAAGACCUUUGGAGCAACAGCAUAGAAACUGGGUGAUGUUUAAUUGCACGUCAUGCAAAGCAACAUAUUUAAGGACAUACAUCCAGCUGAAAAUGACUAAUGAAAAAGAUCUGGACAUGCUGGCAAAUCACAAGCACUCUGUGCUGAGCCACGGGGGUAUGAUGCAGCUGCACAGGAAAUACUACUGCACAAAAAGCUGUAAUUUUUAGUGACAUUUCUGAAAUUUCUUGAUCUACUAGAGAGAAACCUCAAAUAUCGCACAGUUUUUCAGAACCAGCUUUUGAGUUUCUAGAAACUUUUUCAUUUCCCACACAGGGAAGAGGAAUUGAAAAAUGUGUGUGUACAGAGGGAGAGCAAUGGAUAAAGAAGACAGAGAAAACAUCGAAAUAAAAAUAUAAUUUUAAGGGGUUGAAUAAAAGGCCUUUCAUUCCAGAAAUAUGCCCAAAGAUAGUAUUUGAAUUUUUUUGGCAAUAUCUCUGUUCCACUAAGUGAAGUACCACUACAGUAAAUUAUUUCAGAGGGUAUGAAUACAUGGAUAGCAGGUGAUGCCUUUCUAGCUUCUCUUUCAGCAGUGCUGUUAUUUCUAUGCUAUAGACCUACAGCAAAGAUUCUGCAUGCUUGAAAUAUUCAGACAAGUUGUUUGUAGUCUGCAAAAGCCAGAAAUAAAAGUUUUCUUAAAUU
ensembl:lncRNA